UUAGAGUUUGAUUAUGGCUCAGAAUAAACCCUGGCGGCGUGCUUAACACAUGCAAGUCGAGCGAGAAAGGCCUUCGGGCUGAGUAAAGCGGCAAACGGGUGAGUAAUGCGUGGGAAUCUGCCUUUUAGUGGAGAAUACCUUUGAGAAAUUGAAGUUAAUACUGCAUAAGCCCUACGGGGGAAAGAUGGCCUCUUUGCUGUCGCUAAAAGAUGAGCUUGCGUGCCAUUAGCUAGUUGGUGGGGUAAAGGCCUACCAAGGCGAUGAUGGCUAGCCGGCCUGAGAGGGUGUACGGCCACACUGGAACUGAGACACGGUCCAGACUCCUACGGGAGGCAGCAGUGAGGAAUCUUGCGCAAUGGGCGAAAGCCUGACGCAGCGACGCCGCGUGGAGGAUGAAGGCCCUAGGGUCGUAAACUUCUGUUAAAUGGGAAGAAAUGUCCUACUCUAAUACAGUGGGAAGAUGACGGUACCGUUAGAGAAAGCACCGGCUAACUUCGUGCCAGCAGCCGCGGUAAUACGAAGGGUGCGAGCGUUAUUCGGAUUGAUUGGGCGUAAAGGGUGCGUAGGCGGAAUGUUAAGUCAGUUGUUUAAUUUCCUAGCUUAACUAGGAGUCGGCGGUUGAUACUGGCGUUCUUGAGGAUGGAAGAGAGAAGUGGAAUUCUCGGAGUAGCGGUAAAAUGCGUAGAUCUCGAGAGGAACACCGAUGGCGAAGGCAGCUUCUUGGUCCAUUUCUGACGCUGAGGCACGAAAGCGUGGGGAGCAAACAGGAUUAGAUACCCUGGUAGUCCACGCCGUAAACGAUGAUCACUGGACGUUAGUCUCGUUGGAGAUUAGUGUCGUAGCUAACGCGAUAAGUGAUCCGCCUGGGAAGUACGGUCGCAAGAUUAAAACUUAAAGGAAUUGACGGGGGUCCGCACAAGCGGUGGAACAUGUGGUUUAAUUCGACACUACGCGAGAAACCUUACCUGGGCUUGACAUGUAUUUGACCGUUAUAGAAAUAUGAUCUUCCGUGAGUAAUCACGGACAAAUACACAGGUGCUGCAUGGCUGUCGUCAGCUCGUGUUGUGAGAUGUUGGGUUAAGUCCUUUAACGAGCGCAACUCCUGCCGUUAGUUGCUAUCUUGAAAAAGAGCACUCUAGCGGGACUGCCUGGGAAACCAGGAGGAAGGCGGGAAUGACGUCAAGUCCGCAUGGCCCUUAUGCCCAGGGCAACACACGUGUUACAAUGGCUAAUACAAAGGGUCGCAAACUCGUAAGGGUGAGCCAAUCCCCUAAAGUUAGUCUAAGUUCGGAUUGAGGUCUGCAGCUCGACCUCAUGAAGUUGAAAUCGCUAGUAAUCGCGUAUCAGAACGACGCGGUGAAUACGUUCUCGGACCUUGUACACACCGCCCGUCACACCAUGAGAGCUGUUUGUACCCGAAAUCAUCUUAGCUGACCUGUAAGGGGGGCGGAUGCUGAAGGUAUGGGUGGUGAUUGGGGUGAAGUCGUAACAAGGUAGCUGUAGGAGAACCUGCGGCUGGAUCACCUCCUUUAU
rnacentral:rRNA from 1 species